AAUUGGGGUCCAAAAUUAAACUUUUUUUUUGUUUGAUUUCAACAAAAAUUGAAUAUAUGAGGUUCUUUGAUAUGCUGAAUCUAACCAUGUAUUUAGAUUUUUUAUUUGUAGGCCCCGCUAUCAAAUUGGUUCAUAUUGAGGUCAAAAGGGUCCAAAAUUAAACUUUGUUUGAUUUCAUCAAAAAUUGAAUUAUUGGGGUUCUUUGAUAUGCCAAAUCUAACCGUGUUUUUAGAUUUUUAAUUUGGGUCCCAUUUUUUUAAAUUGGUCUACAUUAAGGUCCAAAGGGUCCAAAAUUAAACUUAGUUUGAUUUUAGCAAAAAUUGAAUUAUUGGGGUUCUUUGAUAUGCUGAAUCUAAACAUGUGUUUAGAUUUUUGAUUAUGGGCCCAGUUUUCAAGUUUGUCCAAGUUGGGGUCCAAAAUUAAACUUUGUUUGAUUUCAACAAAAAUUGAAAAUAUGGGGUUCUUUGAUAUGCUGAAUCUAACCAUGUAUUUUGAUUUUGGACAUUGGACCAUAAUAGGUAAAUUAAAAAAAUUCAAGUUCUUAGACCACAUUCUUUCUGUGUCAGAAACCUAUGCUGUGUCAAAUAUUUAAUAACAAUCCAAAUUCAGAGCUGUAUCAAGCUUGAAUGUUGUGUCCAUACUUGCCCCAACUGUUCAGGGUUCGACCUCUGCGGUCGUAUCAAGCUGCGCCCCAGCGAAGCAUUUUAUUA